CAGUAGCCGCGGUAAUACAGAGGGUGCGAGCGUUAAUCGGAUUUACUGGGCGUAAAGCGUGCGCAGGCGGUUAUAUAAGACAGAUGUGAAAUCCCCGGGCUCAACCUGGGAACUGCAUUUGUGACUGUAUAGCUAGAGUACGGCAGAGGGGGAUGGAAUUCCGCGUGUAGCAGUGAAAUGCGUAGAUAUGCGGAGGAACACCGAUGGCGAAGGCAAUCCCCUGGGCCUGUACUGACGCUUAUGCACGAAAGCGUGGGGAGCAAACAGGAUUAGAUACCCCUGUAGUCCCUGUCUCUUAUAC
rnacentral:rRNA from 1 species